AGGAAUGCCCAGGAAGUCGUGGAUCGUGUUGAGGAAGCCGUAGGGGUCAAGUCCUGAGGACUCGAGGAAGUUGAGCAGCUGCGGAAAAAAUGGAGAAGUGAGAACCUGCGUGAUGUAACAUCUCAUAGGUGUAUGAAGUGUCUAAUGGAGCGUUGCUUACAUCGUACAGCUCGGGCUGCUGGUCGACGUAGACGACGAUGCUCUCGAACUCGUCAGACAUGAGGUACUGGAGGGCGGCCUGCACCUCAGCGUCGUUGGCGACGUAGUUGAGGACGAUGUU